AAUUGAAAACAGCACAAAAGCUAUGAAAAUGAAUACUGGAAAAAGUAUUACAAAAAACGAUUGUGAAUUAUUUGGAGAAACAAAAAGAAUCCCAUUUGUCGUUAAAGGUGAACAAAUCAGCAAAAACGCAGAAUUAAAAAGUAAGAACUAAACAUUUAACUGCUUUCCACUAACGACACAGACAUACCAGUAGGAAGAGAGCAUAAAUCAGCAGUUGACGAAACAUGUUGAGCAACAGUCCAAAAGACAUGACUGGGCUUUGGUUUUGUAACGCCAACAAGCCCUUGUUGCAGGCGGACUAAGAAAAUAUUUAAUUGUAAUGGAGAGGAAGAAAGAGAGACGUAACGUAAAAUUGGUGGAAAUUGAAACUAAAACCAACUGCAAUGCAUUUCAUAAAAUCAACACAAUCAAAACUAAAACAAACACAAUUUCAAAUUUAAAUCCCCACUAGCAUAAGACACUUGCAAUGAAGAAUCAAGAGUCAAGAAUCAACCAAAACUUAACACUCACUUCUUCUGGCGACGACCACGUUUAGUCCCCCAGCAUUCGAGUGGCCAAAUUGGGCACCCGCAUCAGUUGCAAAAUAGCAGCACAACACACCCAUGAGUUUGGAAUGCCGGAGAAGAGGACGAGAACGAAGAUCACCACUGAGCUCUAUUACGAGGAGAAACAAUUAAAGCAAAAACAUGUGAAAGAAUUAAGGCACAUACAGACCACUUCCCGCCGAGCGAAUCUUCGGAUUCUUCUUGGUUGGUGGAGCUCUGGUGAAGUCACGGCGGAGGAUAAAGAGCCCAAAUUUCAAUUGCGGCAACCUGCUCACGGCGCAAAUUGGUGAAGUUGUUUUUGUUACAGAUACGUGCACAACAAUAAAGAAGAAGAAACCUUAGCUGAGGAAAACAUAAGAUGAGUUUGAUUUGGUUAUUUUCAAUACCACAACUUUAGUCUAAAAUUAAUAACCAUGUGUAAUUAGUAAUGUAUACUCUCUGCAGGCUGAACACAGCCGCCUGUGGGACAAUGUUUGCGAUUUGCACAAAACAUACAAAUGGCUAAAAAAAAGGCUUCAGACAGAACCAACAACAGUCGAAUGCAUUUUACUGAAUUUUUUCGUGAAGAAUACAUAAUGAAAUAAUUUACGACUCCUGUCAUGUAACAGGGCACGGAGCACAUAGAAAGAUAAGGAAAAUUCAAAAAACUUCUAUAAAUUAUAAGGCAAACUAAAGUUCUGAAUAUGAAAGCAUGUACCUCUAAGGUGUGAAACGACGUCGUUUAACGGGGAGCAGAAUAAAAGAAAAGCAAAAAUGAAGCAAGCAGGACACGGUCAAGCUGCUUUGAAAAUAAACCGAAAAGAAAAAAAUAGAAGCGUCUGAUUGGACGGAGGAAAAGAAACGACGCAGUUUCAUCAUUAAAUGGGCAAAAAAAAAAAAAAGAAAAGAAAUUGCGUAAAACAAAAACAGCCGAUCCCCAUAUAUAUAUGUAAAUUGCCUUUUCUUUUGGCCCAUUUAAUACCUAAACUACGUCGUUUGGUUCCCUCCCACCAAUCAUCUUCUCACGUUAUUUUCUUUUUUAUUUAUUUCUGGAGCAGCUCGACCGUGACACGCUUGCUUGCUUUUUCCUUUUCUUUUAAUCUGUUUUAUGCAGAACGGCGUCGUUUGAACGCCUGAAAUUCAAAUGUUAUUUUUAUUUUCUUUUCUUUCUUUUGUUUUUUGGCCGCCUACAAUUGUUGACGCCGCCGGAAUUUCCUCACCCAGGCCGUCAUGUCUGCAAUCAUCACGUAAAAGAAAAGCAAAAAUGAAGCAAGCAGGACACGGUCAAGCUGCUUUGAAAAUAAACCGAAAAGAAAAAAAUAGAAGCGUCUGAUUGGACGGAGGAAAAGAAACGACGCAGUUUCAUCAUUAAAUGGGCAAAAAAAAAAAAAAA
rnacentral:lncRNA from 1 species